rnacentral:rRNA from 1 species
AGAGCGAACGCUGGCGGCAGGCUUAAUACAUGCAAGUCGAGCGCCUGUAGCAAUACAGGAGCGGCAGACGGGAGAGUAACACGUGGGAACGUGCCCUUUGGUUCGGAACAACACAGGGAAACUUGUGCUAAUACCGGAUAAGCCCUUACGGGGAAAGAUUUAUUGCCAAAGGAUCGGCCCGCGUCUGAUUAGCUAGUUGGUGGGGUAAUGGCCCACCAAGGCGACGAUCAGUAGCUGGUCUGAGAGGAUGAUCAGCCUCAUUGGGACUGAGACACGGCCCAAACUCCUACGGGAGCAGCAGUAGGGAAUAUUGGACAAUGGGCGCAAGCCUGAUCCAGCCAUGCCGCGUGAGUGAUGAAGGCCUUAGGUGUAAAGCUCUUUCGGCGGGAAGAUAAUGACGGUACCCGCAUAAGAAAGCCCGGCUAACUUCGUGCCAGCAGCCGC